rnacentral:lncRNA from 1 species
CUUGGCCGAAGUGGUGGGCUGCUGCCCUCACAAGCAUUGUGAGGGCAGCGGUUCUAGCCCUCACAAAAGCAUUGUGGGGGCUAAAUGUUCUUUAUACUUCCAAAAAAAUCAUUCUCUCUUGCGAAAUGCGAGUGGAGUAUGGACAUCCCUCUCCUGUGAGGGGUUAUUUGUUUGGGCAUCUAUUUCAUAGAAUUCAAUGUCAUAAUAUAAGUCCCAAUUAUGUAUAUCUGAUUGUAAAUAUCAGUAUAAUAUCUCUGCUACAAUAGCAGUUGUUGUAAAAUAUCUGUAUGCGAGUGGAGUAUGGACAUCCCUCUCCUGUGAGGGGUUAUUUGUUUGGGCAUGUAUUUCAUAGAAUUCAAUGUCAUAAUAUAAGUCCCAAUUAUGUAUAUCUGAUUGUAAAUAUCAGUAUAAUAUCUCUGCUACAAUAGCAGUUGUUGUAAAAUAUCUGUGUAAUGCAGUAAUCUGAUGAUUAAUCAGUAUUAAAAAAAAAAAGUACACGCAACACGUGCAACGCUCGCAUAUGAGUG